rnacentral:rRNA from 1 species
UACGAAGGGGGCUAGCGUUGCUCGGAAUCACUGGGCGUAAAGCGCACGUAGGCGGGUUCUUAAGUCAGGGGUGAAAUCCUGGAGCUCAACUCCAGAACUGCCUUUGAUACUGGGAAUCUCGAGUCCGGGAGAGGUGAGUGGAACUGCGAGUGUAGAGGUGAAAUUCGUAGAUAUUCGCAAGAACACCAGUGGCGAAGGCGGCUCACUGGCCCGGUACUGAUGCUGAGGCGCGAAGGCGUGGGGAGCGAACGGG